AGAGUUUGAUUCUGGCUCAGAACGAACGCUGGCGGCGUGGAUAAGACAUGCAAGUCGAACGCCCAUCACGAGGUAGCAAUAUUUCGCGGUGGGAGUGGCGCAAGGGUGCGUAACACGUGGGUAAUCUGCCGCGAAGUCCGGGAUAACUUGCUGAAAGGCGAGCUAAUACCAGAUGUGACUGUCGGGAGGCAUCUCCUGGCAUUCAAAGUUGGGGACCGUAAGGCCUGACACUUCACGAUGAGCCCGCGGCCUAUCAGCUAGUUGGUGAGGUAACGGCCCACCAAGGCUAAGACGGGUAGCUGGUCUAGAGGACGACCAGCCACACUGGAACUGAGACACGGUCCAGACACCUACGGGUGGCAGCAGUCGAGAAUUUUUCUCAAUGGGCGAAAGCCUGAAGGAGCGACGCCGCGUGGGGGAUGAAGGGCUUCGGCCUGUAAACCCCUGUCAUUUGCGAUCAAGGCGACCGACCUAAUACGUCGGGCGUUGAUAGUAGCGAAAGAGGAAGGGACGGCUAACUCUGUGCCAGCAGCCGCGGUAAUACAGAGGUCCCAAGCGUUGUUCGGAUUUACUGGGCGUAAAGGGUGCGUAGGUGGCAAGGUAAGUUCGGUGUGAAAUCUCCAGGCUUAACCUGGAAACUGCACUGGAUACUAUCUAGCUCGAGGAUCGUAGGGGAGACUGGAAUUCUCGGUGUAGCAGUGAAAUGCGUAGAUAUCGAGAGGAACACCAGUGGCGAAAGCGAGUCUCUGGACGAUCCCUGACACUGAGGCACGAAAGCUAGGGGAGCAAACAGGAUUGGAUACCCUGGUAGUCCUAGCCCUAAACGGUGCAUGUUUGCUGUGGGAGGAAUCGACCCCUUCCGUGGCGAAGCUAACGCGUUAAACAUGCCGCCUGGGGAGUACGGCCGCAAGGUUAAAACUCAAAGAAAUUGACGGGGGCCUGCACAAGCGGUGGAGUAUGUGGCUUAAUUCGAUUCAACGCGAAGAACCUUACCUGGCCUUGACAUGUAGGUGGUAGAAGCCUGAAAGGGCAACGACCCCGCAAGGGGAGCUUACACAGGUGCUGCAUGGCUGUCGUCAGCUCGUGUCGUGAGAUGUUGGGUUAAGUCCCGCAACGAGCGCAACCCUCGUGUCCUGUUGCGACCCGGAUGAGAAUUCGGAGCACUCUGGACAGACUGCCACAUUUUCAUGUGGAGGAAGGUGGGGAUGACGUCAAGUCAGGAUGGCCCUUACGGCCAGGGCUGCACACGUACUACAAUGCCCGGUACAAAGAGAAGCAAGACCGCAAGGUGGAGCUAAUCUCGCAAAACCGGGCCCAGUUCAGAUUGUCGGCUGCAACUCGCCGACAUGAAGCUGGAAUCGCUAGUAAUGGCGCAUCAGCUACGGCGCCGUGAAUACGUUCCCAGGCCUUGUACACACCGCCCGUCACAUCAUGAAAGCCGGUUGUACCCGAAGUCAGCGCGUUAACCGCAAGGAGACAGCUGCCGAAGGUAUGGCUGGUGAUUGGGAUGAAGUCGUAACAAGGUA
rnacentral:rRNA from 1 species